GGGUGGCAUGUGAAAGAAAGACCUCAAGG
rnacentral:piRNA from 1 species